rnacentral:rRNA from 1 species
UAGGGAAUCUUCGGCAAUGGACGGAAGUCUGACCGAGCAACGCCGCGUGAGUGAAGAAGGUUUUCGGAUCGUAAAGCUCUGUUGUAAGAGAAGAACGAGUGUGAGAGUGGAAAGUUCACACUGUGACGGUAUCUUACCAGAAAGGGACGGCUAACUACGUGCCAGCAGCCGCGGUAAUACGUAGGUCCCGAGCGUUGUCCGGAUUUAUUGGGCGUAAAGCGAGCGCAGGCGGUUAGAUAAGUCUGAAGUUAAAGGCUGUGGCUCAACCAUAGUUCGCUUUGGAAACUGUCAAACUUGAGUGCAGAAGGGGAGAGUGGAAUUCCAUGUGUAGCGGUGAAAUGCGUAGAUAUAUGGAGGAACACCGGUGGCGAAAGCGGCUCUCUGGUCUGUAACUGACGCUGAGGCUCGAAAGCGUGGGGAGCGAACAGGAUUAGAUACCCUGGUAGUCCACGCCGUAAACGAUGAGUGCUAAGUGUUGGUCUCAUAAGAGAUCAGUGCUGCAGCUAACGCAUUAAGCACUCCGCCUGGGGAGUACGACCGCAAGGUUG